rnacentral:rRNA from 1 species
CAGUAGCCACGGUAAGACAGAGGGUGCAAACGUUGUUCGGAAUUACUGGGCGUAAAGCGUGUGUAGGCGGUUUGGCAAGUCGGAUGUGAAAGCCCCGGGCUCAACCCGGGAAGUGCACUCGAUACUGCUGGACUGGAGUGUGGGAGAGGUUGGUGGAAUUCUCGGUGUAGAGGUGAAAUUCGUAGAUAUCGAGAGGAACACCGGCGGCGAAGGCGGCCAACUGGACCAACACUGACGCUGAGACACGAAAGCGUGGGGAGCAAACAGGAUUAGAGACCCCGCUAGUCCCUGUCUCUUAUAC